UCCCUGGUGGCUUAGACGGUAAAGCGUCUGCCUGCAGUGCUGGAGACCUGGGUUCGAUCCCUGGGUCUGGAA
rnacentral:tRNA from 1 species